UCUCUCUCUUUCAUCUUUCUUUUCUCUCUCCUCCUCUCCCCUGCGCGCGCGUCGCUCCAGUUUCUCCGGCCAAAUCCGGCCGAUCCGGCCACCGAUUGGACCGGGUCUUGUGUCUAAAAUCAUCUACUCGGCGAGAGCUUUCCAUAGACACCAAGAACGCCGAAAUCCAUCGAGCGGAUUGUCCGAUUUUUGCUCGGGAAGAUUUUCGCCCAUUUCGACUUUUGGGCUAGAUUUCUCGAAAACCGUGAAUCCCACGAGAAAACCGAGGCUACCAGCACGCUCCACUCGACGAGAGCUUCGCGGGAUAUUAAUUUCAAAAUUUUCCGACAACGUUUUUCGGUAUCCUCGAUUCGCGGAAAUUCGACAGUUGACCGGGUCUGCAAAUUUCGGGCCAGACAGACCCGUUACCGGAAAAGUCUCCGAAUUGGACCGAGGUUUUGGCUAGCCCCCCAUUGUCAGACGUCCCGAGCGCGUUCCCGAAGUCGGAAUCGGCAAAGGCCACAGGAGGAUAUUU